GACGAACGCUGGCGGCGUACUUAACACAUGCAAGUCGAACGGAAAGGCCCUGCUUUUGUGGGGUGCUCGAGUGGCGAACGGGUGAGUAACACGUGAGUAACCUGCCCUUGACUUUGGGAUAACUUCAGGAAACUGGGGCUAAUACCGGAUAGGAGCUCCUGCUGCAUGGUGGGGGUUGGAAAGUUUCGGCGGUUGGGGAUGGACUCGCGGCUUAUCAGCUUGUUGGUGGGGUAGUGGCUUACCAAGGCUUUGACGGGUAGCCGGCCUGAGAGGGUGACCGGCCACAUUGGGACUGAGAUACGGCCCAGACUCCUACGGGAGGCAGCAGUGGGGAAUAUUGCACAAUGGGCGGAAGCCUGAUGCAGCAACGCCGCGUGCGGGAUGACGGCCUUCGGGUUGUAAACCGCUUUCGCCUGUGACGAAGCGUGAGUGACGGUAAUGGGUAAAGAAGCACCGGCUAACUACGUGCCAGCAGCCGCGGUGAUACGUAGGGUGCGAGCGUUGUCCGGAUUUAUUGGGCGUAAAGGGCUCGUAGGUGGUUGAUCGCGUCGGAAGUGUAAUCUUGGGGCUUAACCCUGAGCGUGCUUUCGAUACGGGUUGACUUGAGGAAGGUAGGGGAGAAUGGAAUUCCUGGUGGAGCGGUGGAAUGCGCAGAUAUCAGGAGGAACACCAGUGGCGAAGGCGGUUCUCUGGGCCUUUCCUGACGCUGAGGAGCGAAAGCGUGGGGAGCGAACAGGCUUAGAUACCCUGGUAGUCCACGCUGUAAACGGUGGGUACUAGGUGUGGGGUCCAUUCCACGGGUUCCGUGCCGUAGCUAACGCUUUAAGUACCCCGCCUGGGGAGUACGGCCGCAAGGCUAAAACUCAAAGGAAUUGACGGGGCCCCGCACAAGCGGCGGAGCAUGCGGAUUAAUUCGAUGCAACGCGUAGAACCUUACCUGGGUUUGACAUGGAUCGGGAGUGCUCAGAGAUGGGUGUGCCUCUUUUGGGGUCGGUUCACAGGUGGUGCAUGGCUGUCGUCAGCUCGUGUCGUGAGAUGUUGGGUUAAGUCCCGCAACGAGCGCAACCCUUGUUCACUGUUGCCAGCACGUUAUGGUGGGGACUCAGUGGAGACCGCCGGGGUCAACUCGGAGGAAGGUGGGGAUGACGUCAAGUCAUCAUGCCCCUUAUGUCCAGGGCUUCACGCAUGCUACAAUGGCUGGUACAGGGAGUGGCGAGCCUGUGAGGGUGAGCGAAUCUCGGAAAGCCGGUCUCAGUUCGGAUUGGGGUCUGCAACUCGACCUCAUGAAGUCGGAGUCGCUAGUAAUCGCAGAUCAGCAACGCUGCGGUGAAUAAGUUCCCGGGGCU
rnacentral:rRNA from 1 species